AGAGUUUGAUCAUGGCUCAGGGUUAACGCUGGCGGCGUGCCUAACACAUGCAAGUCGAACGGUUCUAAGCGCGAGCUUAGGAUAGUGGCGAACGGGUGAGUAAAAGGUAGGAAUCUACCCCUUGGACGGAGAUAGCUACUGGAAACGGUAGGUAAACUUCGAUAAGCCCGAGAGGGGAAAGUGGUGAGACAGCCGAGGGAUGAGCCUACUCUCCAUCAGGUAGUUGGUGAGAUAAAAGCUUACCAAGCCGAUGACGGAUAACCGGUGUGAGAGCAUGAACGGUCACAAGGGCACUGAGAGACGGGCCCUACUCCUACGGGAGGCAGCAGUGGGGAAUCUUGGACAAUGGGCGAAAGCCUGAUCCAGCGACGCCGCGUGGAGGAAGAAGUCCUUCGGGAUGUAAACUUCUGAACUAGCCGAAUAAAAGGCCUGUGGACACACAGGAGAAGAAAGUAGGCUAGGAAAAGUCCCGGCUAACUACGUGCCAGCAGCCGCGGUAAGACGUAGGGGGCAAGCGUUACCCGGAAUUACUGGGCGUAAAGGGGGCGUAGGCGGUAAAAGAAGUCAUCUGUGAAAACCUAUUGCUCAACGAUAGGCUAGCGGAUGAAACUGAAUUACUUGAGGGCACCAGAGGUAGACGGAAUUACCCGAGUAGGGGUGAAAUCCGCAGAUACGGGUAGGAACGCCGGUGGAGAAGUCGGUCUACUGGGGUGCACCAGACGCUGAGGCCCGAAAGCUAGGGGAGCAAACCGGAUUAGAUACCCGGGUAGUCCUAGCCGUAAACGAUGCUCACUAGGUGUAGGGAGUGAUAAACUCUCUGUGCUGAAGCGAACGCGCUAAGUGAGCCGCCUGGGGAGUACGUCCGCAAGGAUGAAACUCAAAGGAAUUGACGG
rnacentral:rRNA from 1 species